UACGGAGGGAGCUAGCGUUGUUCGGAAUUACUGGGCGUAAAGCGCACGUAGGCGGCGAUUCAAGUCAGAGGUGAAAGCCCGGGGCUCAACCCCGGAACUGCCUUUGAAACUAGGUUGCUAGAAUCCUGGAGAGGUUAGUGGAAUUCCGAGUGUAGAGGUGAAAUUCGUAGAUAUUCGGAAGAACACCAGUGGCGAAGGCGGCCUGCUGGGCAGUUGCUGACACUGAGGCGCGACAGCGUGGGGAGCAAACAGG
rnacentral:rRNA from 1 species